AAGUCGUAACAAGGUAACCGUAGGUGAACCUGCGGUUGGAUCAUUAAUAAAUUUAUAAAGGUAGAGGGUCUUUACGGACCUUUUACUCUUUAACAAAUUUGUGAACUUUAUUAAAGUCUUUUGGGAUGAUAGCAAUGUUAUCCCAAAAACCCCUUUUAAACAAUUUUUUAUAUAACAAGUCUUUAAAAACCUUUAAAUUUAAUUUAAAAAACAACUUUUGACAACGGAUCUCUUGGCUCUC
rnacentral:misc_RNA from 1 species